GCUGCAUACCCCGAUAAUUCUUUAUGCCCUUAUCACCGCCAACCUUUUUCAGCUGCUGAGCUUCCUUUGAGGCCUUUGGGAUGACCUCCUCCACCUCUAAAGACCUUAGCUUGCUCCUUUGCACCACCCUAAAGUUUAUUGUAGGCACCCUUCUGCUUGACAACUAUAUCAAUUAUUGUCUUGGACUUCUCUGGAGAAACUAUAACAUUUCUAAACCGGCACUCAUUGCUAUUGAAAUCCUCUCCACCUAAAUCCAAAGUCCAUCUGAUACCAUAGAAGUCAACCUAUACCCAAGUC
rnacentral:lncRNA from 1 species